rnacentral:SRP_RNA from 1 species
GCCGGGUGUGGUGGCGCGUGCCUGUAAUCCCAGCCACUCUGGAGGCUGAGACAGGAGAAUCACUCGAACCUGGGGGGGCAGAGGUUCCAGUGAGCCAAGAUCGUGACAUUGCACUCCAGCCUGGGUAACAGAGUGAGACUCCGUCUCAA